GGACGAUUAGCUCAGCUGGAUAGAGCGUUUCCCUCCGGAGGAAGAGGUCAGAGGUUCGAAUCCUCUAUCGUUCG
rnacentral:tRNA from 1 species